AUUGAACGCUGGCGGCAGGCCUAACACAUGCAAGUCGAACGAGUGGCGGACGGGUGAGCAAUGUCUGGGACACUGCCCGAUGGAGGGGGAUAACUACUGGAAACGGUUGCUACUACCGCAUACAGUCGGAUGGGCCCAGAUGGGAUUAGCUAGUAGGUGGGGUAACGGCUCACCUAGGCGAAGAUCCCUAGCUGGGCUGAGAGGAUGACCAGGCACACUGGAACUGAGACACGGUCCAGACUCCUACGGGAGGCAGCAGUGGGGAAGAUUGGACAAUGGGCGCAAGCCUGAUGCAGCCAUGCCGCGUGUAUGAAGAAGGCCGUCGGGUUGUAAAGUACUUUCAGCGAGGAGGCGUUACUCGCAGAAGAAGCACCGGCUAACUCCGUGCCAGCAGCCGCGGUAAUAC
rnacentral:rRNA from 1 species